CGCCUGGUGGAUGGCUUGGCUCGGGCGCCGACGAAGGGCGCGGCAAGCUCGCGAUAAUCCCGGGGUAGGCGCAUGCAGCCUUUGAUCCCGGGGUUCCCUAAUGGGGCUUCCUGCCGCGGUGAACCCGCGGCGUCCCGUAAGGGACGGGAACCCCCCGAACGGAAACAUCUUAGUAGGGGGAGGAGGAGAAAUCAACAGAGAUCCCCUGAGUAGGGGCGACCGAAAGGGGGAGAGCCCAAACCAAAUCCCCCCGGGAUGACUGGGGGGAGAUGUGGGGUAAUGGGCUUGGGGCACCGCCUAAGCGGCCUAGCCGAAGUGGGCUGGAAGGCCCCACCGAAGAGGGUGACAGUCCCGUAGGUUAAAGGCCGUCGGCGGAUUCCCAAGUUCCGGAGUACCAUGCCUUGGUUUUGGCAUGGGAAGUCGGGGGCCACUGGCCUCCAAGGCUAAAUACGUCCCGAGACCGAUAGCGUACAAGUACCGUGAGGGAACGCUGAAAAGCACCCCGGAAGGGGGGUGAAAAGAGCCUGAAACCAGGCGGUUAAAGGAGGGGCGGCCUCAAAGGAUUCCUCGGUCCGAAGGAAACCAAGGCAACUUGGGAGUACGAGGGCUGGGGCCGGGGUCGCUCCUUACGUCUAGAAACACGGGCCAGGGAGUGCACGCUCGUGGCGAGUUUAAGGGGGUUAAGCCCCGUAAGGCGCAGGGAAACCGACUUGCCCGCAGCCGAGCAAUCGGCGAGGGGCGGGGUCUUAAUGGGCCUGGAGCCACGGGCGGGCGACCCGAAACCGAGCGAUCUAUCCCGGGGCAGGGCGAAGCGGGGUGAAAGCCCCGUGGAGGCCCGAAGGGGUUCUGACGUGCAAAUCGUUCCUCUGACCCUGGGAUAGGGGCAAAAGACCAAUCAAGCUCGGUGAUAGCUGGUUCCCCCCGAAGUGGAUCUAAGUCCAGCCUCCCCAGAGGAUGCCCGUGGGGUAGAGCACCGAUCUAGGGCGCAGGGGCCGAAAGGCCCCGGCUCCGGGUCGAACUUCGAACUCACGGGCUCCGUAGAAGGGGGGAGACGGGUUUCCCGGGGGUAAGCUUGGGAACCGAGAGGGGAACAACCCAGACCGGGGUUAAGGCCCCUAAGCGCGGGCUAAGUGCUAAUCCGGAAGGGAGUCUUCCGCCGAAGACGGCGGGGCCGUAGGCCCAGCAGCAGCCAUCGGCUAAGAAGUGCGUAACAGCUUACCCGCUGAGGCGGGAGGCCCUUAAGAUGUGCGGGGCUUAAGCCCGCCGCCGAGACCCCGGGCCGUGGAUUAUUGAAUCCACGAGCGGUAGGGGGGCGUGGCCAUGGGCUAGAAGCCGGGCCGUGAGGUCCGGUGGACCCGUGGCCAAUGCGGAUCCUGGCAGUAGUAGCAGCGUCUAGAGGGGUUAAAUGCCCCUCCGCCGGUUGGGCAAGGGUUCCAUGGCAACGUCAAUCAGCCAUGGGUUAGCCGGUCCUAAGGCAGAGCCCCACAGGCAUCUGCCGAAAGGGAAACGGGUUAAUAAUCCCGUGCCGUGGGGAUAGGUUUUGCGGCAACGCGUGCCCUGCUUCCGACGCCUCCGGAUACGGCGAGCGGGACCGCCGUCCCGUUUAACCGCCGAAGACCGGGGAGCGGCGUAAUGCCGAGAACCGGUUGAAUGCGGGAAUAGCCGGGCCUUGAGCCUGGUUCGCCCGAUUCCGGGGGCCCAUGAAAAGGAAGCAGGGAACGAGUCCCCACGCCCGUACCGAGAACCGACACAGGUGCCCUGGGCUAGAAACCCAAGGCGGCUCGGGUGACCCUGGGUUAGGGAACUCGGCAAAUUGGCCCCGUAACUUCGGGAGAAGGGGUGCCUGCGGUCCUUGGCUUAAACCAGGGAUCGCAGGUCGCAGUGGCCAGGGGGACCUGACUGUUUAACAAAAACAUAGGUCCCCGCGAGCCCGUAAGGGUGAGUACGGGGGCUGAAUCCUGGCCACUGGCGGUACGUUAAACCCGGGUACAACCGGGCUAAGCGCCGCUGAAGGCCGGGGGUAACUCUGACCCUCUUAAGGUAGCCAAAUGCCUUGCCGGGUAAGUUCCGGCGUGCAUGAAUGGAUCAACGAGGUCCCCACUGUCCCAACCCAGGUCCCGGCGAACCUGCCUCCAGGUGAACAGUCCUGGGACCCCCGAUGGGGCGAGAAGACCCUAUGGAGCUUCACUGCAGCCUGUCGUUGGGGUGGGGGAGGGAAUGCAUAGCGUAGGUAGGAGCAUUGAAGCGCGGUCUCCGGGCCGCGCGGAUGCGGCAAUGAAACACUACCCAUUUCCUCCUCUGCCCCUAACCUCCCCGUGGGGGACAGCGGCAGGUGGGCAGUUCGGCUGGGGCGGCACACCUCUGAAAAGAUAUCAGAGGUGCCCUAAGCUCGGCUCAGGUGGGUUAGAAACCCGCCGUGGAGGGUAAGGCCAAAAGCCGGGCUGACUGUACCCUCGAUUGCUCGGGGUGCAGGCGGGAAACCGGGGCUUAACGAACGCUCAUACCCCCUCCGGUGGGGGUUGGGCAUGUCGGAAAAGUUACCCUAGGAGUAACCGGCUCGUCGCGGGUGAGAGUUCCCAUCGACCCCGCGGUUUGGUACCCAGACGUCGUCUCUUCCCAUCCUGGGAGUGCAGCAGCUCCCAAGGGUGCGGCUGCCCGCCGAUCAAAGGGGAACGUGAGAUGGGUUCAGACCGUCGUGAGACAGGUCGGUCUCUACCUGUCGGGGGUGCUGGCUGCCUGAGGGGGAGGUGCCCUCAGUACGAGAGGAACGGGGCGCCGCGGCCUCUAGUGUACCGGUUGUCCGGUAGGGCAGUGCCGGGCAGCCACGCCGUGGGGGAUAACCGCUGAAGGCAUCUAAGCGGGAAGCUCCCCCCGAAAAUAGGCAGCCAUCCGCUUCCGGGGCGGUUCCCCGCCUCGGGGGUGGGUAGGGUACCCGUAGAAGACGGGCUUGAUGGGGCGGGGGUGUAACC
rnacentral:rRNA from 1 species